UUUUCCCUGCCAUGUUCGACAGGGUUGGAUUAGCUUUGUACCUUAGCAAUUGAACCGGGAGCCCAAUAUCCGUUGUAGCCAACGGCAAGCCGCCACGAGCGGAAGUCGACCGGCUAUCGUGAGGGCACCCCCUUAGUGGGCAGGUUCAAAGGCUAUCCACUCAACGGCAUAGUGCGGGGAAGUU
rnacentral:other from 1 species